rnacentral:rRNA from 1 species
CCUACGGGUGGCAGCAGUGGGGAAUAUUGCACAAUGUGGGAAACCCUGAUGCAGCGACGCCGCGUGAGUGAAGAAGUAUUUCGGUAUGUAAAGCUCUGUCAGCAGGGAAGAAAAUGACGGUAACGGACCAAGAAGCACCGGAGAACUACGUGCCAGAAGCCGCGGUAAUACGUAGGGGGCAAGCGUAAUCCGGAUUUACUGGGUGUAAAGGGAGCGUAGCCGGCCGGGCAAGUCUGGAGUGAAAGGCGGGGGCUCAACCCCCGGACUGCUCUUGAAAAGGUACGGCUGGAGUGCAGGAGAGGUAAGUGGAAUUCCUAGUGUAGCGGUGAAAUGCGUAGAUAUUAGGAGGAACACCAGUGGCGAAGGCGGCUUACUGGACUGUAACUGACGUUGAGGCUCGAAAGCGUGGGGAGCAAACAGGAUUAGAUACCCUGGUAGUC